rnacentral:tRNA from 1 species
GUCCCCAUCGUCUAGAGGCCCAGGACAGUGGCUUUUCAAGCCACCAACGGGGGUUCGAAUCCCCCUGGGGACG